UGUUUCUGUGACAUCCAGGACACAAGUUGUUUACAUCUUACUAUGACAUCAUUGAAAGGCUGAUUUUUAUCAGCAGAUACUUCCUAGGUUGCAAGAAGGGGCCACCAGCUUGGGAUCACCUCUUCAUGCAGCCUGUCUGAAAUGCAGUCAGUGAAAAGCCUGGCAUCGCGUACCGAUGAUGUAGAUACUUUCUCUGCACUGGAGGUCAACUACCAGGCAUGUGGAUGAAGCCCUCCAAGAUCAGCCUGCUUCUGGCUGACCCACCCACUGCCUGAAGCUACCCAGCUGAGGCCAGAUGUGAGAUCUAUGAAACAAGUAUCCAUAAUGGAAGGGUGUGAUGAAGCAGAAGGUCCUCUUUCAAUAUUGUAGUUAUGUAACUUGAUGAGAAGAUUCCAGUGCCUGCAACAUGACAACAUGUAAGCCAAAUAAAUCCUAGCUGAAGACCACA